GAUGAAGAACGCAGCGAAAUGCGAUACGUAAUGUGAAUUGCAGAAUUCAGUGAAUCAUCGAGUCUUUGAACGCACAUUGCGCCCCCUGGUAUUCCGGGGGGCAUGCCUGUCCGAGCGUCAUUGCUGCCCUCAAGCACGGCUUGUGUGUUGGGCCUCCGUCCUCCUCCCGGGGGACGGACCCGAAAGGCAGCGGCGGCACCGCGUCCGGUCCUCGAGCGUAUGGGGCUUCGUCACCCGCUCUUGUAGGCCCGGCCGGCGCUUGCCGACACAUCAAUCUUUUUUCCAGGUUGACCUCGGAUCAGGUAGGGAUACCCGCUGAACUUAAGCAUAUCAUAAGCGGAGGA
rnacentral:misc_RNA from 1 species